UACGUAGGGUGCAAGCGUUAAUCGGAAUUACUGGGCGUAAAGCGUGCGCAGGCGGCUUUGCAAGACAGAUGUGAAAUCCCCGGGCUUAACCUGGGAACUGCAUUUGUGACUGCAUGGCUGGAGUGCGGCAGAGGGGGAUGGAAUUCCGCGUGUAGCGGUGAAAUGCGUAGAUAUCUGGAAGAACACCAGUGGCGAAGGCGGUCAACUGGCCCGAAACUGACGCUGAGGCACGAAAGCGUGGGUAGCGAACAGG
rnacentral:rRNA from 1 species